rnacentral:miRNA from 1 species
AACAACACCAUCAACCGGAAGGAAUCCCUCCUGGUCGAUGAGAAACAGGUUAACGACAACACCACCAACUGGAAGGGAUUCCUUCCGGUUGAUGAGGUUGUU